AUGGUGAGCGGCGAAGGUAAGGCGAGCUCGCAGAGGCAGCGGCGGCGGCGGCGGAGACGGAGAGAGGCAGGCAGGCAGGCAGGGCGAGGGCGAGAGACGGAGGGAGGGAGCGAGCGAGGCAGACCAGACAGACAGACAGGCGGGCGGGCGGGCAAAGCGAGCCACCCGCCAGGCUGCACUCAGCCCCGCUCGCAGCGGAGAGAGCAGAAGGCAGGAGGAGGGAGGGGAGGAGGGGGAGGGAGGGAGAGAGGGAAUCCAGCUACCACCACCCAAAGCCAGCGUCUGCUUUCUGUCCUCAUUUCCUUUUCCCACCCAGCUCUGAAAGCAGAGAAAGGCAGAGGGAGCGAGAGAUAGAGACAGUCAGAGAGACAGACAGACAGCCAGAGAGAGCAGGAGGGAGGAGGGCGGAGGAGGAGGAGCAGGAGGAGGACUACGCGGGGCGCGUUCCCUCCCAGCUGCCGAGCGCCCGCGUCGCUGCCGCGGCCGGAAGACAGACGCCCCCCAAAGCCCCUCGCCUGGCUCGGACCAACGGAGCCGGCAGCCCAGCACUCCGAUGGGAGCUUGCCUGCCUGUCUGCCCAUUGGCCUGGACCCCAGAGCCUGCCCAGCUAAGUGCGUGCAGAGUGCCCCGGCUUUGGGGCGACUCUCAGGCCGCCGAAGAGACCACCCUGGAAUCACUGGCGAAGACAGGCCUUUCUUGCUGAGCUGGGCCUGUCUGCACAGCCUGCUCAGGCGCUGUCCACGCCCCGAGGCCUGGGCUCAGGCCGAAGCUGCUCCACAGCACCCCCAGCUGACAGCCAGCGACUGGCAGAGCCCCCAGGCACGGGGGCCCUCUCUCUUUCAGGUCAGCUGGGCGUGCGCUGGAGGGAGUACUGGGGGAGCUGGGGUUGGUAUGUGGGGGAGUCUGGGCCCCGUGGGCAGGUGGGCAGUGGUUGGGCUGUGGCCAGCAGACCACUGAGAUCUCCUCUUGCCUGUCUCGUUGCCCACAGAGAUCUCCAGUGUGACAGCCCAGGCGGCAGAGCCGAGGCUUUCAGAAAACCAACGCCAAGACCCCUCCCAGCGUCCACACGGUCCUCCGGCAGGCGCCUGCCCCUCUGCCUCCCGCCCCACCUCCCCUGCACCCCCUGCAGCCCCAUCGCCCCCCCACCCCUCCCUGCCCAUCUCCUCCACGCAGAAGCCGAAGGUUCUGCUGCCCUAGAGGGUGUUGGAGCCCUUGUGAUAAACAGAUGGACAAUCAAGCACACAAACGCAUCACUUGGGACAAAAAAAAAGAAAAGAAAAGCAAAAGCCAGAGGUCAUUGUCGUAUCAUGAAGAACUGGGAGGGAGAACCAGCUCAAUGGGCCAUGGGAAGGCUAGGAUAGGACGGACUGGGCCACGGGCCAGUGGGCACAGCAGACACAGCUAGGGGAAGAAGCAGCCCUGGCUUCCAGUUCCGACUGCUGUGUUACCCUGGAUCAGCUGCUGCCCCUCUCUGGAUCUCUCUUCUGCUUCUAACAAAGAGAGAGCUGCAGUUGGAGAUUUCCGAGGCAAUGAGAUUCUCAAAGUCACUGCAGCAGUUGUAUAAACAGGGCGGGGGCCUGGGAGCCUUGGGAGUCUGAUCAGAGUAACAAGAGCCCCCUCCUCAGAGGCUCCCCGACAGCCUCCUCCCCGCUCUAGGCCUGGGCUCUAGUCUGGGUUGAAGCACCAGAGGCCAACAGCACCCCUGCCCCCCA
ensembl:lncRNA